GCACUUUCAGUAGGGAGGAAGGUAGUCGUAGUUAACACCUGCAUUAUUUGACGUUACCUACAGAAGAAGCACCGGCUAACUCCGUGCCAGCAGCCGCGGUAAUACGGAGGGUGCGAGCGUUAAUCGGAAUUACUGGGCGUAAAGCGCAUGCAGGCGGCCUGUUAAGUCAGAUGUGAAAGCCCCGGGGCUUAACCUCGGAAUUGCAUUUGAAACUGGCAGGCUAGAGUCUUGUAGAGGGGGUAGAAUUUCAGGUGUAGCGGUGAAAUGCGUAGAGAUCUGGAAGGAAUUACCAGUGGCGAAGGCGGCCCCCUGGACAAAGACUGACGCUCAGAUGCGAAAGCGUGGGGAGCAAACAGGAUUAGAUACCCUGGUAG
rnacentral:rRNA from 1 species